GUUACAGAAGCACUUUCGCCCACCCCUGAAUAAGCAGUAAGGCGUGGGUGUGUUGGAACCACUUUGUCGAGAGAAUCCAUUUCGCUAGUUGUUUCAGUGCAUAAACGAGCCCAAUCAACUUUUAGAGUUGAGUUUUAGUUUCCUACCAGCCAAUCUUUGCUUGAGCUUGGCUUUCAAUUACUAGCACUCCCAUAGAUCACAGUUCAGAUUCAAUUUGACUGAUCUAUUUGUCAGCUGUCUUUUUUAAAUAUCAUUUCAUCCCGAUAUUUACCUUCCGAGCAUGUCUUAGGCCAGUCCUCUCUUCUAUGUUCUAGAUGCUUUCUUCGUACUUUUCAGACCCAAAGGUGCUAUCGUGCUUUUUUUUGUUCAUUAACAAAAUAUUUGACACAUUGAUAAUGGUUGUCCUUUACCCCUCUUUCUUACCAUUUCUUUGAAUCCAAGAUGGCAGUUCAUAUAGUUUUGGAGGCUUAAUCAUCUGAUUGAGAUCCAUGAUCUAUGCUGGUGUAGAACAAGAUUAUAAUUAUAUUACAAUGCUUGAACUCUUAAUUUUGAUGUCCAGCAACAAAUUUUUUGGGUAUUAUAAUUGAUGGACUCGAUCUAGUGAGACAGACAUUGUUGCUAAAUCAAUUAUUAUGUUUGAUCUAUCAGAUUUUUUCAAUCUAGCCAAGAACACAAUUGACAAUUUAAAAUUUGAUCAGAUCAUUCAUAGAGGAAUGACUAGUUUUUUUUUUGGUCCAAAUUUGACCCUUGAACGGAAAGCAUUUCAAGAUUUUAAUACAUUAUAAAAGCUAAUUGAGAAAGCAUUGAGCUACUGUGUAGGUUCAUAUGCAGAACAAGAACUUAAAAUAAUAUUUCUUUAAUUUAUUUGAACUCUUGUGAAACAUUUUAGUUUUUCAUUAAAGGAGUCAUUUUUUUCUUUUUUUAAAGUGCUUCUUUUAUUGCAAAUAUAUGCCAUAUCAACGUUUACUGAUAUUGCAUCAUAUUCAUUGGCUAUGGGAUAAUUUCGAAGGGAUACCUUGCAGCAUACAAGUAGGUUCUUUUCAAAGGGAUACCUUGCAACAUCCAAGUGUCCUUUACAUGUUAUUUGAUCUGUUUCACCAAAGAGGGAAAAAAAAAUCUACCUUCUGCAGAUGAAUUAAUUGCAUUUAUCAUUUUAGUAAUAGCUUACCAAGAAACAUGGUCAUCGGUUUUUCCCAUAUUUAUUAUAGUAAUCUUUUCUUUUAUAUCUGAAACUAUAGUGAAUCAUGUCCUGCGUGAUAACAUGAUCAUGUGAGCUUUUUGACGAAUUCCCAAACCUGUUUAUUGACACUGUAGUAAUAAUAUCACCACCAACAAUUCCACUCACCGAAAACAAUGUGUCUAGCAGUCGCAGACCACAUUAGUGAAGUUCCUUCCCAGAUGUUCAAAAGGAGUGAACUAACCAUUUAUUGUAUGUAUCUCAAUAAAUUAUUGUCACCAAUCUCCACUAUAAUUAAAAUUCUGCAAAAAGGCUGCAUCCUACAGAAUCCUAUACUUUUGGUUCCAUCCGUAGAUACCGUAGGCUGCUGUUGUUUGGCGGGCUGGAAUUUCUGAAGUUGAAUUCUGAUUUUCCUUUAUAUCAUUGUUUUUUUGAUGUUGUUGACAUGGCUCUAGUAUUUUGUAUUUUCAUGGUCCAUCAUAGGCUGUUUCUGUGGAAUCACAGUGCACAAUCGUUCAAACUUAGCUGGCUGCUGCCCAAGGGAAGUUAGCUGUACUGGAGAAGCAAAAGGAAGACACCCUGCCUGACAUAUUUGCCAUCAGCUCUCUUGGAGAGUUGCACAGUGAACUCAUUUUCCUUGUAGUCAUAAGAAAGCAUGAAAUCCAACAAUUUGUAGCCAUUAUUUUCCAUCAUAUAGAUAUUUGUACAACUCGACCAUGUUGGAGAAGCGAUAGGUAGCUGCAUGAUACAUAUUCAUCCUGUUGCAUGUGCAUUACAAGGUUGCAGAUACACAUGAUAGCAUUGUGCGCCUCCUUGUACAUCAUUAGAAUAUGUCUACAGUCUGCCCAUUUAAUACACAUGAAUGCCAUUCAUAUAUGCAGUGAUAUGCCUAUAUUUAAAUACAAGUAUUUGCAUAAAUCUGUAUUGCUGAAACCUCAUUUAUGCAUUUGUUUAUUGGGUAAUGCUCAUUUUAAGUCCGGGUUAUUCUUUUCCAGAGGCUAUAAUUAAGUGGCAGAGGAGUCUGAGGUGCCAUGCAGGGAAGAGUUUAACCUUGCUACGUUUGUCCAGAAGUACAAGAAGCUCCGGAAUAAUGAGUUUAAUCUUCCCACUUUUCUCUAGAAGUACAAGAAGCUCCACUGGCACUUGUUUGUCUUGCUGCGAAGAUAUCUGAUUUCCAAAUUCAGCUUGUUAAAAAUAAAAAUGUUGUCAUUCACAAUUCACAUACAAUACCACCUUAUAUGGUUUUGCCUACUUUUUCCUAUUCUUUCUCUACCAAGGUGUUGAAGUCCAUCAUCAGUGUCUGCACAGUUCAUUACCUCACUGUGUCAAAUUAUGAUUCAUCCUACAAUCAAGUAGGAAGUAGGGUGUACUAAGCAACUUUGGUGGCAACAUAUGUGUAUAUGUUUUGUUUGAUUCAUAUUGUUGGUCCGAAAAGUGGGGGACAUUUGUAUUCAGUGGACCUGACGAUGCAUCAUGUAGUCUUCAUCACUUCACAUGCCCCUACAUUCGAUUGAUUUCCAUAUGAUCUGACUACAAGCAUUGAACCCAUGAAUGGUGUUUACAGCUGAAGGGCAGAAGAAUGAGCUACCAUAGAGGCAUGAAGUGCUUGAAAAUAUUACUUUCAUGAAGUUCCUGGAACGGGACUCUGGAAUGUGUUUCAGAGAUGGAAUUUUCUCCUCCGCGUCCCCUUCUACAGUCGGUGUAAGCAGGCCCGCACAAGACGAGACAAAAUAAUGGAAGAGGAAAAAGAGUGAUUGCCGACGCGUCUCUGACACGCUUAUGCUGGAAAAUGCAUGUACUGCAACGCGUUUGACAGGUUGGAGAUGAAAAUGGCAAAUGAAUAGUACACUUCCACCACCAUUGCAAUCUCCACCAUCAUAUGUCCCCUUUGGGCUACUCAAACAAAGGAAGAAUACCAGACUCUUCCACCUUAACCAGGAAGAGAAACAUUUAUCUUCUACCAACACAACUACAGGUAACAACGACAACAACACAGCUCAUUUUG